GAUUGAUGAACGAAAUGGGCAACAUGAGGGUGGCCAAGACGAUGGGCGUGCCGGACUCCUGGAGGCCGCCCAGCCAUUUCCUCACCAGGACUUUAAAAGAAGAAGUUGAAGGGACACAUCUUGCACUAAACAGAGUUAGGAUGCAAGAAACAGACUUGGGGAAAAAAAAAGAAACCCAUUUUUACCGCACAAGAUGAAGGCGCGGCCAUCAAUGGCAUGAAGAUGCAAGAACAGUUCACUAAGCACUUUACAGAGAAUCAAGUAUGCUCGACAAUAGUAGAAAUAAAGUUCUUUAAUAUCACUAAAA